CUUGGACACGAGUAUUAUCACUUUCAACACAACUAAGAUCAUAGAAUAUGUAAAAUCCUUCAUUCCCUAUCCAGUUUUACUUCUGGCAGAUGUGUGGACUUUCUCAGAUACCUCAUGAAGAAGAAGAGGUUUCUGACAUGAGAAGCCUCUCGACCUGCCUCUCUCCCUCCUGGACUUGCUCUGCGCUCUACUACGAUGCUGAAAAAGAACAGAGGUGUCUGCCAUCAGAUUCCUCACUACAGAAUUCCUGCAUGCUGACCAUCUCUCCUGGGCCUGCUACCUGACUCCUGCUGCUUCCUCCUGGAUUGGCUCUGCGACUGCCUCCUGCUACCUGCUUGCUGCCCAAGACCAGCCAUGCUGCUGCUGCUCUCCCCACCCCCCCGCUGCUUUAGCCUCGGACCUUCGAAACGUUGUGCAACGGGACAGCUGCUGGAUCCUGGUGAAAAAAGAAAUCUUCCAGAUAAUACGCCUAAGUAUUCUGAAGCCCUCCACUGGGGGAAAAGAAAAAGCAAUCCUGUGCAGACUAACUAGACUCACUCUGUCUUAUGUCCUAAGCACAUACACAGGUUGGGCAAAGAAUGACUUGUGAGCAUUCCUGAGGAGAAGGAUUUGGGGGUGUCAACUGAUGAAAUAUUCAACAUGAUCCAGCAAUGUGCACUUGCAGUCAAGAAGACCAACCAUACCCUGGAUGUGAUCACCCUGAGGUGUAUCUGCUCGUCUACUUUGCUCUCAUGAGACUUCACCUGGAGUACUGUGUCCAGUUCUAAGGCCCCCAAUGCAGGAAGGACAUUGAGCUGUUGGAGUGGGUCCAGAGGAGGGCCAUGAAGAUGAUCAGACAGCUGGAGCACCUCCCCCAUGAGAAUAGGCUGGGAGAGAUGGGUGUCUUCAGCCUGGCAAAGAGAAAGCCCUGAGGAGAACUUAUAGAAGCCUUCCAGUACCUGAAUGGAGCCUACAGGAGAUCUGGAGAGAGACUUUUCAUAAGGGCAUAUAGAGACAGACAAGGGGGGAAUAUUUUUAAAUUGGAAGAAGGUAGUUUGAGACUAGAUACAGGAAGAAAAUAUUUACUAUGAGGGUGGUGAGACACUGAAACAGGUUGCCCAGGGUGUGGAUGUCCCCACCCUGGAAGCAUUCAGCGACAGGCUGCAUGGGGCUUUGAGCAACCUAGAUGGUCUAGAUGGAGGUGUCCCUGCCUAUAGCAGGGAGUUGAAACUAGGUGAUCUUAAAUGUCCUUUCCAACUGAAGCUGUUCUAUGAUUCUAUGAAAUUCAUUUGGCUUAAACUGUCCCAAUCAGUUUUAAAAUAAUUCAUCUUUAAUAGGCAACAUACUGUUUUAAUGCACUGCCCAAAACCAUCUCCAAAAUGCUGAAAACUGUACUGCCUCUAGCUUCAUUAACUGAGAACAUAUGUUAGCAGCCAAUUUUUUAGUAGCUCCCUUGAGUAGUUCUGCAAGUCAGAUUUCACUGAUAAUUGCUUUAAUAAAAAGUGUUUUAACAUAAAGUGCUUGAUUUCACAGGUUGCCUACUUUUUUUUUUCUGCGUUCAGCUUUAUGUAGGCAAAUAUGUAUUCAGACACUCUGUACAUUAAUGGGACUGCCCUUCUGGUUAAACACUAGCUUAAGUGCUUUACUGGGCCAAGGUCUAAAAUCUAUGUAUACUGGUAAAAGAUUUUGAACAUGUUAAAAUUCUGCACAUGAGUAAAAGAAUACUACCUGCACUUUCAGAAAAUGACUACCUUAUUGAGCUAGCAAUUACCUACAUAAUAUGCACACCCCAAAAUGGCACAGGAGCUGAAAUGCUGUUGAGAACACUAAACUUGGUCUUCAGAUUGAGAAACUAAUAUUUUCCUGUGCUUAUUACAAUUCCAUAGGUAAGGAUAAUCGAUGGGAGCUGAACAUAAUAGAGGCAUAAAAUGCAGAUCAUGUCUAUCAAUUUUCUUGGCUUAAAGAUGUGCCUAUAGUCUACAUUUCAAUGCUUACAUGAUUUUUCACUCUCUGUAUAUUCGUCAUAUGCUAAUACAGCAGUCUUCUAUCUAUAAAAACUUAAAUGCACUCUGAACUAAGAUCCUGACAUGCCACCAAUGUGGGAAUUAUCUGUUGCCAAACAAUGAUCACCUGUGUCUCGCUGAGUUCUUGCUAGAUAAAUUAUGAGAAGGCAAGUAGUGGAUUUUAAGUGACUGUGGCUGUUUACUUGAUGAAUAAAUAAGAUCUUAAUCUUUCUGCCUGUUAAUAUACUUUAAAAAAAAAUGUAAUAUCUAAUCUAAUAUUCAAAUGUGACUAUAAUUUUUUUCUAGGAGCUAGGAAAGAGCCUUAAAAUUAAGAUGAAGGUUCUCUGCCAGAUGGCACUGUUUUGGAAGAAUGAACAAAAUCAGGCUAUGUCCUUUUUCUAUAUCAUGGCCUUUGAAGGAGCGGAUGGCUUUCCUAACAUAGCCUGCAGUUGACAGAUAGAAGAAAAUAGUUUCAAUUUCUAAACCCUUCAUGCAGCAGAUAAAUUGUAGAAUGCUAAACAUUCCUAAGACAGCACAGAAAGAUGUCUCAAGAUCCUUACUGAGGUGGGACAUGAUAAUCCCUAUUCACUGAGCCUGAGAUAAAGAAGUGAUCAUAGGAGAAAGAAUCUUACCAGGAAAGAGGAAUUAGGGUAGUUGCUAAGUUGCUGGAAUAUAUACUCUGCCUUUUGUGAUUCAAUAUACUUACUGCAGGAAUUUUAUUGCCAUUUGAUGAAACAAACGUGAGCUAGUAUUCUGUUCUCUCUCAUCUCAUCAGUUGCUCAACAGAGAAACACAUCACCAUUUACAAUUCACAAACCAAAUGCAUAAGAUACAGAGCUUGAUAAAACAAAAUCUUCCUUCUUGUUACAAAUGAAAUAAUAUUUUACAAACCUACUUCCUUCUGAAGUAUUUUAAAGCUACAGUUACUAACAUGACUGGUCUUGUUCCAGAAGAAAGCCUUCUGUUAAUUGCUAAAGCUUUAUUAUCAUAGUUUAAAGCUCAUUUAUAUUAUUGCUUUCUUGUUUUUUUUUCCCUCUUAUUCACAGACUGCUGCCUUUUCCCCUUUUCUACUCUUUUCUUCUCACAGUGUAUUCUCUCCCAUCAAAAGAUGGCUAAAUAACCUGUUCCAUGCCAAGUAACCCCUUUGGCAAGAAUAUUGUUGGCCCAUAAUUUGUUUAAAAGUGGUGGAUUGCUGAGAUCCUUUCAAGAAAGCUGCAUGAAAAUCUCCACAAAUGACUCUAUGCCAUUAGCAGCAAGAGCCCUAACGGAGUCAUUGUAGUGACUGAACGUAUAUUAUAGAUCUCUCUCUGUAAUUUAAUUCUGAAACUGGGAAUCUUAGGUAGCAUAUGAAGAGCUGAAAAUUGCCUCACCACCCCCGUGUCUCUCACUCACACUCAGAGAUAGAAUGAAAUCAAUGGGAGAAAUGUCUUUGCAGUAGUGAAUACACAUGUACGUUGGCAUUUACAAAAACUUGAGCCCUCUGUGGGAUGUAGAACUUGGCUUAGAGGAAAUUAGAACAAUCUGACAUGGGUGCAGACUCCCAUCCUUCAGUACAGGUCAUGAUUGACAGGGCCCUUGUAAAUAGAGGAUUCAAGAGAGAGGAGCCUUUUAAAAUUACGUGUAAGAUGACUGAAAUGACAUUCAAAAUGUCAAUUUAAGCAAGAAUGCAUUUUCUGAAUUAUUCUCAUCACUGUGUGCCUUUACAUCUCUGAUGCAUUUCCAGGACAUUCAUUAUAAACCUGAUCCUGUAGAUCAUUUAAGGAAAUCUGCAGAAAUUGAGUAUUUAUAUAUAUAAUGGAUUUGCAUACAUAAAUACAGUCUUCCUACAAAGUACUGCACUGCACAACAAAUUUAAAUGAAUGUUGGAUUGAAUAAUUGUAGAAUACUUCAUAUGUAAAUGUUACUGCCAUUUAAAGCUAACUGCACAACAGGACAAAAGAGAAAAUGUUAUUUCACAUACGUAUACGAAAUUAAUCUGCAGAAGUUUCCAGUGUUGAAAAUGUAAGCUUCCUAAAAUAUGAAAUAAUAACAUAAACAAAUUAAAUAUAUAAUAAUAAAUGGAGUUAAUUAUGACAAAGAUGUCAGGUAUUCAGUGUGAGAAAUACCUAACUACUAUAUAUGGAAUCCUCUGAGCUGACAUUUUUUGUUUGUUUGUCUGUGUUAAUUAUUGCUAGAGCUGAGAAAACCAAUUUUGAUUUGUAGUAGAGGUCAGUUACCUAAUUCUUAACAACAACAACAAAAAAAACCCUGUAUUUACAUUUGCAUAGUACACAAUGAAACAACAUACAACAUAUAUGUUACAAUUUUCAUAGCAGUGAAAAUGCUUCAAAAGGUAAUUUUUCAGCUACAUCUGUAGGGAUUUAGAAUUCUAAUGUAC